GACGAACGCUGGCGGCGUGCCUAAUACAUGCAAGUCGAGCGGAACUGGGGGAGCUUGCUCCUUCCAGUUUAGCGGCGGACGGGUGAGUAACACGUGGGCAACCUGCCCUGCAGAUCGGGAUAACUCCGGGAAACCGGUGCUAAUACCGAAUAGUUUGGCGCCUCUCCUGAGGCGCUACGGAAAGACGGUUUCGGCUGUCACUGCAGGAUGGGCCCGCGGCGCGUUAGCUAGUUGGUGGGGUAACGGCCCACCAAGGCGACGAUGCGUAGCCGGCCUGAGAGGGGGACCGGCCCCACUGGGACUGAGACACGGCCCAGACUCCUACGGGAGGCAGCAGUAGGGAAUCUUCCGCAAUGGACGCAAGUCUGAUGGAGCAACGCCGCGUGAGUGACGAAGGUUUUCGGAUCGUAAAACUCUGUUGUGAGGGAAGAACACGUACCAACUAACUAUUGGUACCUUGACGGUACCUCACCAGAAAGCCACGGCUAACUACGUGCCAGCCGCCGCCGUAA
rnacentral:rRNA from 1 species